rnacentral:rRNA from 1 species
GGGGAACUGAAACAUCUAAGUACCCCGAGGAAAAGAAAUCAACCGAGAUUCCCCCAGUAGCGGCGAGCGAACGGGGAGCAGCCCAGAGCCUGAAUCAGUGUGUGUGUUAGUGGAAGCGUCUGGAAAGGCGCGCGAUACAGGGUGACAGCCCCGUACACAAAAAUGCACAUGCUGUGAGCUCGAUGAGUAGGGCGGGACACGUGGUAUCCUGUCUGAAUAUGGGGGGACCAUCCUCCAAGGCUAAAUACUCCUGACUGACCGAUAGUGAACCAGUACCGUGAGGGAAAGGCGAAAAGAACCCCGGCGAGGGGAGUGAAAAAGAACCUGAAACCGUGUACGU